CCCAUGCCUAAGGAAAUUCCUGCAGAAAACUGUAAACCAAGCAACACCAACCUUCACUCAUCUGACAAUCGAUGAUCAAGACCUCAUCUCACCCUGUAUUCCACUACAAACUCUCCCGUAUACUGAUGAAGUGCAGAAAGUCUAGGAAGGGACAGUACAGGGACAGCAUCCGUCUUUAUGGGUAGACUGCCGUACGGAGAAGUAGUGGAUAAGCCACUAUGGGUUACCAGCGGAGUGAAGAGUGUUCCUGAAC